AAUGAACGCUGGCGGCGUGCUUAACACAUGCAAGUCGUGCGCGAAGAAGGCUUCGGCCUUCGGAGAGCGGCGAACGGGUGCGUAACACGUGGACAACCUGCCCAGAAGUGGGGGAUAACUUGGGGAAACUCGAGCUAAUAUCGCAUGCGUCUGCGAGGCCUCGGCUUCGCUUGCAAAGGUGGCCUCUACUUGUAAGCUACCGCUUUUGAAGGGGUCCGCGGCUGAUUAGCUAGUUGGUAGGGUAAUGGCCUACCAAGGCGACGAUCAGUAGCCGGCCUGAGAGGGUGAUCGGCCACACUGGAACUGAGACACGGUCCAGACUCCUACGGGAGGCAGCAGUGGGGAAUAUUGGACAAUGGGCGCAAGCCUGAUCCAGCAACGCCGCGUGGAGGAUGAAGGUCUUCGGAUUGUAAACUCCUGUCAGGCGGGACGAAGGGCUCCGACCUAAUACGUCGGAAUCUUGACGGUACCGCCAGAGGAAGCCCCGGCUAACUCCGUGCCAGCAGCCGCGGUAAUACGGAGGGGGCAAGCGUUAUUCGGAAUUAUUGGGCGUAAAGGGCGCGUAGGCGGCCCUGUAAGUCAAAGGUGAAAGCCCUCGGCUCAACCGGGGAACUGCCUUGAUACUGCAAGGCUCGAGGCCGGGAGAGGUGGUGGAAUUCCCAGUGUAGCGGUGAAAUGCGUAGAUACUGGGAGGAACACCCGUGGCGAAGGCGGCCACCUGGACCGGAUCUGACGCUGAGGCGCGAAAGCGUGGGGGAGC
rnacentral:rRNA from 1 species